rnacentral:rRNA from 1 species
CAAGUCGCGCGAGAAAGUCCCGCAAGGGAUGAGUAGAGCGGCAAACGGGUGAGUAACACGUAAGUAACCUUCCUCUAAAUCUGGAAUAACCCUGCCAACGCGGGGCUAAUACCUGAUGUGGCCCGCAUUUCAUAAGAAGUGCGGAUUAAAGGUGACCUCUAUUUAUAAGUUACCGUUUAGAGAUGGACUUGCGCACUAUUAGCUAGUUGGUGAGGUAACGGCCCACCAAGGCGAUGAUGGUUAGCCGGCCUGAGAGGGUGUACGGCCAUAUUGGGACUGAGAUACGGCCCAGACUCCUACGGGAGGCAGCAGUAGGGAAUUUUGCGCAAUGGACGAAAGUCUGACGCAGCAACGCCGCGUGAGUGAUGAAGGUCUUCGGAUUGUAAAGCUCUGUUGAGUGGGAAGAAAGGUUCCGGGAAUAACACCUCGGAACGUGACGGUACCAUUCGAGGAAGCCCCGGCUAACUACGUGCCAGCAGCCGCGGU